GCCUCUCUCUAAAAACCCUAAUCUCCAUUCUCUUCUCUCCCAAACAUCUCCAACAAGAUUUGUCCUCAAGAGCUUAAGGAUUCAAGAUCUUCAAGUCAAGUCUUGGUUUCCGGUGAGAUGAUCUUCAAGCAAGCGACAGGUUUAAGAGAUCGUCAAUAGGAGCACCAUUGAGGAUCUAUUCACACUCAGCGUAUUGGUGAGUCCUCCCCUACAUUCGGAGGACACCGCUUAUGUUAUUCUUGUGUCGAGUUAGCCUUUUUCAUUUUGAUUUAAGGUAGCCAUUAAUAUGUCAUUGACACCAAUUAGAUAGUAGUGAUAGAUUCUUCAUAGACUAGAUAGUGAUGGAUCGAUUGAAUAUUUUUAUUUCCUUGAAAUUAUUCUUGUCAAACUAUUUUAAUGUCAAAGAUUGAAGUUUGAUUUGUUGGCCCAUGA